UACGUAGGGUGCAGGCGUUAAUCGGAAUUACUGGGCGUAAAGCGUGCGCAGGCGGUGAUGUAAGACAGGUGUGAAAUCCCCGGGCUUAACCUGGGAACUGCAUUUGUGACUGCAUCGCUGGAGUGCGGCAGAGGGGGAUGGAAUUCCGCGUGUAGCAGUGAAAUGCGUAGAUAUGCGGAGGAACACCGAUGGCGAAGGCAAUCCCCUGGGCCUGCACUGACGCUCAUGCACGAAAGCGUGGGGAGCAAACAGG
rnacentral:rRNA from 1 species